rnacentral:rRNA from 1 species
UACCUGGUUGAUCCUGCCAGUAAUCAUAUGCUUGUCUCAAAGAUUAAGCCAUGCAUGUCUAAGUACAUGCCGAAAUAAGGCGAAACCGCGAAUGGCUCAUUAAAUCAGUUAUGGUUCCUUAGAUCGUUUCUUCCUACUUGGAUAACUGUGGCAAUUCUAGAGCUAAUACAUGCAGUGAGCCUGAAGCCCUUUGGGCGACGGGUGCUUUUAUUAGACCAAGAUCGAUCGGGUUUCGGCCCGUAUUGUGUGGUGACUCUGGAUAACUUUGUGCUGAUCGCAUGGCCACGAGCCGGCGACGUUUCUUUCAAGUGUCUGCCUUAUCAACUUUCGAUGGUAGGUUACUUGCUUACCAUGGUUGUUACGGGUAACGGAGAAUCAGGGUUCGAUUCCGGAGAGGGAGCCUGAGAAACGGCUACCACAUCCAAGGAAGGCAGCAGGCGCGCAAAUUACCCACUCCCGGCACGGGGAGGUAGUGACGAAAAAUAACAAUACGGGACUCUUUUGAGGCCCCGUAAUUGAAAUGAGUACACUCUAAAUCCUUUAACGAGGAUCAAUUGGAGGGCAAGUCUGGUGCCAGCAGCCGCGGUAAUUCCAGCUCCAAUAGCGUAUACUAAAGCUGCUGCGGUUAAAAAGCUCGUAGUUGGAUCUCAGUUCCAGACGAGUAGUGCAUCUACCCGAUGCGACGGCUCGGACUGAACAUCAUGCCGGUCCUUUCUUGGUGCACUUCAUUGUGUGCCUCGAGAAGGCCGGUGCUUUUACUUUGAAAAAAUUAGAUGUGCUCAACGCAGGCGAGUCGCCUGAAUAAACUUGCAUGGAAUAAUAGAACAAGACCUCGUUUCUGUUCUGUUGGUUUUUGGAAUACGAGGUAAUGAUUAAGAGGGACAGACGGGGGCAUUCGUAUUGCGGCGCUAGAGGUGAAAUUCUUGGACCGUCGCAAGACGAACUACUGCGAAAGCAUUUGCCAAGAAUGUUUUCUUUGAUCAAGAACGAAAGUCAGAGGUUCGAAGGCGAUCAGAUACCGCCCUAGUUCUGACCAUAAACGAUGCCAACCAGCGAUCCGCCUGAGUUACUCAAAUGACUCGGCGGGCAGCUUCCGGGAAACCAAAGUGUUUGGGUUCCGGGGGAAGUAUGGUUGCAAAGCUGAAACUUAAAGGAAUUGACGGAAGGGCACCACCAGGAGUGGAGCCUGCGGCUUAAUUUGACUCAACACGGGAAAACUUACCCGGCCCGGACACUGGGAGGAUUGACAGAUUGAGAGCUCUUUCUUGAUUCGGUGGAUGGUGGUGCAUGGCCGUUCUUAGUUGGUGGAGCGAUUUGUCUGGUUAAUUCCGAUAACGAACGAGACUCUAGCCUAUUAAAUAGGUGCGGGGUUCCCAGCACCUUACAACCUUCUUAGAGGGACAAGCGGCUCCUAGCCGCACGAAACAGAGCAAUAACAGGUCUGUGAUGCCCUUAGAUGUCCGGGGCCGCACGCGCGCUACACUGAAGGAAGCAGCGUGUCUUUAUCCCUGUCUGAAAGGACUGGGUAACCCGUGGAACUUCUUUCGUGAUUGGGAUAGGGGCUUGCAAUUGUUCCCCUUGAACGAGGAAUUCCCAGUAAGCGCGAGUCAUAAGCUCGCGUUGAUUACGUCCCUGCCCUUUGUACACACCGCCCGUCGCUACUACCGAUUGAAUGAUUUAGUGAGGUCUUCGGACCGAUGUCCGGCGCGGCCUUUCGGUUGCGCCGGUCUGUUGGAAAGAUGACCAAACUUGAUCAUUUAGAGGAAGUAAAAGUCGUAACAAGGUUUCCGUAGGUGAACCUGCGGAAGGAUCAUUA